CUUUAUUCCUCAGGUACCGUCAUUUUGUUCUUCCCUGAGAAAAGAGGUUUACAACCCAAGAGCCUUCCUCCCUCACGCGGUAUUGCUCCGUCAGGCUUUCGCCCAUUGCGGAAAAUUCCCA
rnacentral:rRNA from 1 species